UUUCCGUAGGUGAACCUGCGGAAGGAUCAUUAAAGUUAUAGUCCCCUGGCCCUCUGGGCUGGGGUCUUCUAUACCACCCUUUGUUUAUUACACCUUUGUUGCUUUGGCAGGCCUGCCCUCGGGCUGCUGGCUCCGGCCGGCUCGCGUCUGCCAGAGGACCUAAACUCUGUUUGUAUAUGAAGUCUGAGUACUAUAUAAUAGUUUAAACUUUCAACAACGGAUCUCUUGGUUCUG
rnacentral:misc_RNA from 1 species